rnacentral:rRNA from 1 species
AUUGAACGCUGGCGGCAUGCCUUACACAUGCAAGUCGAACGGCAGCACGGGUGCUUGCACCUGGUGGCGAGUGGCGAACGGGUGAGUAAUACAUCGGAACAUGUCCUGUAGUGGGGGAUAGCCCGGCGAAAGCCGGAUUAAUACCGCAUACGAUCUACGGAUGAAAGCGGGGGACCUUCGGGCCUCGCGCUAUAGGGUUGGCCGAUGGCUGAUUAGCUAGUUGGUGGGGUAAAGGCCUACCAAGGCGACGAUCAGUAGCUGGUCUGAGAGGACGACCAGCCACACUGGGACUGAGGCACGGCCCAGACUCCUACGGGAGGCAGCAGUGGGGAAUUUUGGACAAUGGGCGAAAGCCUGAUCCAGCAAUGCCGCGUGUGUGAAGAAGGCCUUCGGGUUGUAAAGCACUUUUGUCCGGAAAGAAAUCCUUGGCCCUAAUACGGUCGGGGGAUGACGGUACCGGAAGAAUAAGCACCGGCUAACUACGUG